rfam:Oryza nivara chromosome 4, whole genome shotgun sequence.
AUUGGGAAGAGGAAGAAAAAGAGCACCUAAGAGCAUUAGGCAUGGGAACAUGGAGGAAAGCCUGAACCAUUAUUUCCCUUUAAAAUUAGGGGUCACAAUAUGUUCCUGUGUUUUCCCAAUACCUCCCAUGCCUAUUGUUCUCAGGUGUUCCUUUCCUCUUCCUUUUGGCU